GGGCUUGGACAAUGGAAAUUGGGUAAUCUGUAAACGGAAUGAUAGUUUGUAAAUUGUAAUGGGUUUCUUAACUCUAAUUUAUACAAAUUAACUAGUGUUUUAUAUUAUUCUUUUUAUUAUAAUAUAAUUUUUCUUCGGGUCGGUUUCAGAAGUUUUAGGGGUGGUUGAAAAAUUUUAGGGUGUGGAGUUGAAAAAUUUAGGGGGUACGGUCGGGAAUUUUGCUUAUAUAUAACAUUCAUUUUUUUUUCUUUUCCAAGGUGGGUGCGUGCCACCCCGGACACCACAGUGAUAAUUAUUGGUUUUGGUUUUAGUUUCAAGUUCUUUUCAAGUAAAUUCAGAUUUGAAAUUAGAUAGGUUUCGUGAUUCGUUAAGAGAUAGAACCAACAAUUUGUUCACUAUUCACGAAAAGAAUUGGGCCCAAAAUUAUGGUUAAGGGUAAAUAAAUUACAAAAAUAAAAACUUAGUGAUAGAGCAAAAACUUGAACUUGAGACCUUUACAUUAUUUUGAGAUGGUUUUUGCGACUACACCACCAAUAUUUUUUUGCAUAGUAAAAGGAUGAAUAUACUAAAUAUAUAAUUUAAUAAAUAUAUACAAGUUUACAAAGACUUUUCGGGCCCUUUGAAAUUUUGGGUCUCGGGCGUCGGCACGGGUUUGCCGGGCCCAGAGCCGGCCUUGCGAAUCAAAUGGCUUAUAAUUAUAAAUGUUAUGUUAUCUUUGAAGAAGUCAAUGGACACCAUAAUUCUUUCUUAGUUGUGAUCAUUGAUGAUCACAAGGUGCGGCUUUGAGGUAGAUCAUCUUACCGAUUGAUCGUAAAAAUAAACUCUGUCGUUCAUUUCUAUAUAGAAUUAACAUUUUUGCAAAAUGCAAAACUUGCUCAAGUGUUUGGAUAUAUGAUCAUGGGUUUGAUUACUUGUAAGGUUGUGUAUUAUGUUUGCUUUAUGAUGCAAGUUUUUGGGAGAGCUUGAAACACUUGGCUGAAGGCGUACGGGAUGACUAGAUCGUUUUCAAGGUGCAAAAUUAAAGAAGAUGAAGGAAGUUAAUUAGUUGCUAAUGGAUGUGACCCUGAAAUUAAGGCAUGAGAAUGAUGAGAGGGAUGUUGGUGUAAUAUGUAUUAUGUUCUGUUUUUGGAAAACAAUGGGGGCUUGUUUUUUUGGACAGAGAAAUCUUGUAAAGAGAUUUGACCCACUUU
rnacentral:lncRNA from 1 species